rnacentral:rRNA from 1 species
AUCAACUUUCGAUGGUAGGAUAGAGGCCUACCAUGGUGGUAACGGGUAACGGGGUGUUAGGGCACGACACCGGAGAGGGAGCCUGAGAAACGGCUACCACAUCCAAGGAUGGCAGCAGGCGCGCAAAUUACCCAAUCCCGACACGGGGAGGUAGUGACAAUAAAUAACAAUACGGGGUUCUUUAGGAUCUCGUAAUUGGAAUGAGUACAAUUUAAAUCUCUUAACGAGGAACAAUUGGAGGGCAAGUCUGGUGCCAGCAGCCGCGGUAUUUCCAGCUCCAAUAGCGUAUAUUAAAGUUGUUGCAGUUAAAAAGCUCGUAGUUGAAUUUCGGGGUUAGUAGGUUGGUCAUGCCUCUGGUAUGUACUGGUCUCACUGAUUCCUCCUUCCUUAUGAACCGUAAUGCCAUUAAUUUGGUGUUGCGGGGAAUUUGGACUGUUACUUUGAAAAAAUUAGAGUGUUUAAAGCAAGCUAACGCUUGAAUACAUUAGCAUGGAAUAAUGAAAUAGGACGUUCGAUCUUAUUUUGUUGGUUUCUAGGAUUGACGUAAUGAUUAAUAGGGAUAGUUGGGGGCAUUAGUAUUCAAUUGUCAGAGGUGAAAUUCUUGGAUUUAUUGAAGACUAACUACUGCGAAAGCAUUUGCCAAGGAUGUUUUCAUUAAUCAAGAACGAAAGUUAGGGGAUCGAAGACGAUCAGAUACCGUCGUAGUCUUAACCAUAAACUAUGCCGACUAGGGAUCGGAUGAUGUUAAUUUUUUAAUGACUCAUUCGGCGCCUUACGGGAAACCAAAGUGUUUGGGUUC